UGGGGAAUAUUGGACAAUGGGCGCAAGCCUGAUCCAGCCAUGCCGCGUGAGUGAUGAAGGCCCUAGGGUUGUAAAGCUCUUUCACCGGUGAAGAUAAUGACGGUAACCGGAGAAGAAGCCCCGGCUAACUUCGUGCCAGCAGCCGCGGUAAUACGAAGGGGGCUAGCGUUGUUCGGAUUUACUGGGCGUAAAGCGCACGUAGGCGGACUUUUAAGUCAGGGGUGAAAUCCCGGGGCUCAACCCCGGAACUGCCUUUGAUACUGGAAGUCUUGAAUAUGGUAGAGGUGAGUGGAAUUCCGAGUGUAGAGGUGAAAUUCGUAGAUAUUCGGAGGAACACCAGUGGCGAAGGCGGCUCACUGGACCAUUACUGACGCUGAGGUGCGAAAGCGUGGGGAGCAAACAGG
rnacentral:rRNA from 2 species